rnacentral:tRNA from 1 species
CUCCUGAUAGCUCAGUUGGUAGAGCGAUGGACUGUAAUUGAAAUUAUCUGAUAAUCCACAGGUCGCGUGUUCGACUCACGCUCGGGAGA